AGCAGUAUGGCCUAGUGGGUAAAGUAUGGGCUUGGAAGUCAGAGAACCUGGGUUCUAAUCCUGGUUCUGCCA
rnacentral:tRNA from 1 species